CGAUAGCCACGACCGCACCCCCGCAUCGGCCUGCGGGUCGAUCUGACGAUCUCGUGACCAUCGCUCACGGAGUCGCCUCCUCUCCUUCACCAGUGGACGCGCCGUCGUUCCCGUCCUCUACCGAAGCCACGGAGCGCGCAAUUGACCUCUCCAAUCCACGGGUACUGGAUGUCUAGAUCAGUGAGGAGUCGGAUCUCUUUAUUUGUGCCUUGUUGGUAAAGGUACCGGAUGGCUGACACCGAGGAUCGUGAACCUACUUUCGUUCCCCAAUCCUUAUCGAACGCUGUGGAUGCAAGCCCUAAGAGACGAGAGAUGCCAGUGGAAUCGACCAUUCAGAGCAGCGAAGACUACCUAUGUGGACAAGUUCCAAAUAACACUAGAUACAAUCUUCGUGGUCGAGAUGUUGAUUUAGCAACACAGUUGAGGAGGGAAGAACACAAGAUGGACAGAGAGAAAUGCUUUGAAACGAAGCGCUUAAGGAAAGAACAGAAAAUGCGAGAAGAUAGAGAAUGUGUGGACAAGGCCCUCAGGGCAAGAGCAGUUCUUGAUGCACAAUACAAAGCAUGGAAGGAAGAACAGAGGAAGCUAAGGCUCUCCAAACAAGGUGGUGACAACAAUGACGGUGACUUCAGCGGUAACAAAGGCGAGAAGGGAAGCGUUUAUACACGUUAGUGUUUUGCCUCUCUUCACCUUUUUCUUGCCUUCAUUACUUACUCUGUGCAUCAACUUGCUGCAGGGGAGAUCAUUAAUAAACCUCCAGAAGGUUCUGGAGACUGGCUACCAUAUGAAUCGGAUGAUGAGUUUGGGACAGAAUUUGAGCUGAAGCACACAAGCUGGGAAGUUGAGAAGUUCACUUUAGAGCUUGCUCGAUGUAUGGUUGGGCUUGAGUCUUUUACUGACACAAAGAUUUUCUCUUGCUCUGGCACAAUAGUUGAAUAUGUGGACGAUACUGGUUAUGUAGUAACAUCUGCAAGCUUAGUAAGAUGUCCAGACAGAGAUGAGCAAAUUGAUAAACCGAAGAUCAAUGUAUGGUUAGCAAGUGGUCAAAAACUUGAAGGUUUUGUGUCAAAUGUGGACUUCUAUUACAAUAUCUGUGUGAUCAAGGUCCCUUGCACUGUUCACCUGCCAAGCAAAAGCUUCUGUCCAAACACUGGGUUCUUUAACUUUUAUGAAAACCAUACAAGAGAUGUUGUAGCUCUAGGCCGUAGUUGUGAGCCUUGCAGCUUAAAGGUUGCUUCAGGAAAGCUUAUUCCAAGGAGAAGCAGGUUUGAUUGUGAAGAGCUAUUGGUUUCUUCUUGCAAAAUUUCAAAGAGAGGUGUUGGCGGUCCUUUGAUGGAUUUUGAUGGAAAUGUAAUUGGAAUGAAUUUCUAUGACAAGAAAGAAACUCCUUUUCUUCCAAGUUUCAUUGUAUUGAAGUGUUUGCAGCACUUCGAUAUCUUUGGGGGAAAUGUGUCUUACGUUCUUCUCCUCCUUUGAGGAUAGUGCCACAUACUCUUUCCACCAGUGAUGAAUAAAAUGAUCCAUCUGAUGAUGCAGGAAGGUGAUACGACCAUUGCAUGGGCUGCGAGUUAAAACUCUUUAUGAAGCAAACCUCAGUCUACUUGAAAAAAAGUUACAGAGUGGAAUCCCUGAAAGAUGCGGUGUGAUUGUGGUGAAGGUACAAGAACCUUCUGCAGAACUUUCUGAGAUAAAGGUCGGGGACAUAAUCACUCAUGUUGAUGGUGUACCGUUCUCCAAUGCUGCAGAGCUUGGUGGCAUCCUUCUGGAUAUGUGCGGUAAGCUUUGGCUGGACAGGCAGAAAAUGAACCCUUCAGAUGUUUUCAACCAGACGGCAGCACUGAUGAGCCUUAAGUUUCGUGUGAGAACAUAUAGAGAUGCUAAAUCUGAAGUUAUAACUCAAAUCAUCAACGUCAACAAGUUUACUCCCAGCAGACUUAACAAGUGGCCACUUCCCAGGCCAAUUAUUGUCCGGCAAUACGAACAUGGUAAAGUUAUCAGCGAAGAGUGGUACAUGACUGGUGUUUGAAGUCAGCACUGUCUUGUUCUGAAGCAUCACCAGGGAGUCUAUAUAUAAGCUAAAUGGCCAUCUGAACUAAUAUAAGCUUAGUAGUAAUGAUGCCUGAAUGUUGUACUUGUCUUUCUCAGCAUGCUAGUAUUCAGGGAAGCCGUCGGGGUCGCACUCUCACGGAAUUGUUGCCUCUAA